GUCCACGCCCUAAACGAUGUAAACUCGACAUCAGCGAUAUACUGUUGGUGUCCAAGCGAAAGCGUUAAGUUUACCACCUGGGAAGUACGACCGCAAGGUUGAAACUCAAAGGAAUUGGCGGGGUCCGCACAAGCGGUGGAGCAUGUGGUUUAAUUCGAUGAUACGCGAGGAACCUUACCUGGGCUAGAAUGUAACUUGAUUGAUCCUGAAAGGGGUCUUUGUAGCAAUACACAGGUUACAAGGUGCUGCAUGGUUGUCGU
rnacentral:rRNA from 1 species